AGUAAAAGUCGUAACAAGGUUUCCGUAGGUGAACCUGCGGAAGGAUCAUUACUGAGGUUACCGAGGACGAGUUUGUGAGUGGUUCGCUGCUGGCGUUCACGCGCAUGUGCACGACUCCUCCUUCUCGCCCUCGUUCCUUCUAUCAACCCCUGUGCACUAUAUUAGGAUUAGAGAGAAGCGCGUCGUUUUGAGGAUUAACGUAGUAGUUGUGGGUCCUCCCGCAUCGAAAGGUUAAUCUUUGAUCGACGGCGCGUGGUAUCUCGAAGUCCUUCUUAAUUUACCACCAUAUAUGUCUUGUCAGAACGUUUAGUCCCUCGUUGGACGCUAAUGUAAUACAACUUUCAACAACGGAUCUCUUGGCUCUCGCAUCGAUGAAGAACGCAGCGAAAUGCGAUAAGUAAUGUGAAUUGCAGAAUUCAGUGAAUCAUCGAAUCUUUGAACGCACCUUGCGCCCUUUGGUAUUCCGAAGGGCACGCCUGUUUGAGUGUCAUGUUCAUCUCAAUCCAAGUGCUUUGCGGCUCUUCUGGAUUGGAUUUGGGAGUCUGCUGGCCCUUCGCUCAGAGGGGUCGGCUCUCCUUGAAUGCAUGAGUGAGCAUCUGGCUCGCGUCGCUGAUGUGAUAGUCUUUCAUCAUUGGUGUCGCUUGUCUAAUGGGCUUGCUUUCGAACCGUCUUCUCAACGGAGACAAACCUUGAUCAUUUUGACCUCAAAUCAGGUGGGACUACCCGCUGAACUUAAGCUAUCA
rnacentral:rRNA from 1 species